ACACAGGUGAAAGUUUUCAUGUAAACAAUAGUAAUUAUAUAAAAUGUAAAUAUGCUUAAACUUAAAAGGGAGCUAAUAAAUAACUCUUAAUUCCAAUAUUGCCACAAUACUUUUACUAUCUAAGCUUUAAAUCUGUAUUUAUUGUUGUAUUAUCUACACAUAAUUUUUUUAUGAGUGUGUUUGUGUGUGUGUUUUAUUGUAUUUAUUGUGUGAAUAUUUUCAGCUCUUUACCAAGACUGUGAUACAUCAAACAUACAUGUAUUUGUGAUUCUUUUCCUGUUUUAACCUUUUUACAUAUGAAAGUCAGGGCAAAUUCGUUUAUUAUAUAAUUAAUAAAACCAAGCAACAAAACAAUAUCGCUCCAGCUCUGAAGUGACUAGCCAAUGACAUAAAGAGAUACACAACUGUAAAAUCAUUGAAUUCGAAAUUUUAGUAAAUGUGAUAGGUGUCAAAUAUACUUCAAUAACAAUUUGUAAUUGUUAUCACUACUGUAUCAUUAUUAUCAUAUUAUAUUUUGUGUUGAUUAAACAAAUACAAAACUGCUUACUUAUUAGUAUGUUUAGUCUCAAUUAGUCAUUAGAAUGAUACCAACUCAAAUUUUAAAAAAGCACAGUGUUCUGCUUACGGAAAUGCCCGUACCAAUUCAGGAUAAAACACUGUAACUUGUUUUUUUCUUUCGUUUAAUCUAUUUUUGAGCGUUAGGUUUUUCCCAUUUUGUUAAGAAACAUUCCGUCUUAAAUUUUGCUUGGUUUCCGGUAUAUUUGUUACUUAACCUUUUGGUGAUACCAGAACUGUGAUAGAUUACAGUAAGGAAGAAGAUAUGAGCACACAAUUAUUAUUAGUACUCGUAUUGUCGUCGUUGUUCGUGGUUAAUUGAGUAUUGAAUAUAUUAAUAUCAUUUUAUUGGG
rnacentral:lncRNA from 1 species